UACGUAGGGGGCAAGCGUUAUUCGGAUUUACUGGGUGUAAAGGGAGCGCAGACGGAUGGAUAAGUCUGAAGUGAAAGCCCGCGGCUCAACUGCGGGACUGCUUUGGAAACUGUGCAUCUUGAGUACGGGAGGGGCAGGCGGAAUUCCUGGUGUAGCGGUGAAAUGCGUAGAUAUCAGGAGGAACACCGGCGGCGAAGGCAGCCUGCUGGACCGAAACUGACGUUGAGGCUCGAAAGCGUGGGGAGCAAACAGG
rnacentral:rRNA from 1 species